CUUGACUUGACUGAUCAAAUCUCCUGGAUUUCCAGCUACAAUGAGGCUCUGUUCUUGGGCUCUGGGUCUCCUAAUGCUCUGGAUCACUGGGUCCAAUGGUGAUAUUGUAAUGACUCAGACUCCACUCUCCCUGGCUGUCACCCUGGGAGAGACGGUCUCCCUCUCCUGCAGGUCAAGUCAGAGCCUCAUAUAUAGUGAUGGAGAUAGCCUUCUGUAUUGGUUCCUUCAGAAGCCUGGCCAGUCUGCACAGCAAUUGAUCUAUUGGGCUACCAACCGAGAAUCUGGGGUCCCAGACAGAUUCAGUGGCAGUGGGUCAGGCACAGAUUUCACACUGCAAAUCAGCAAUGUGGAGGCUGAGAAUAAUGGGAUUUAUUACUGCUUGCAAAGUAGAUCUACUCCUCCGACAGUGAUACAGUGCUUAACAAAAACAUCUCUGUAGGGCUUGGUCCAGCUGUCCUAUUUCAAAGCUUGUCUGGAGAGCAGCAUAGCAAAUUCUCUGAACUGAAGCAGGAAUCUGAGUUUGGAGGACUUGACAGAAGAUGUCAUACUAGAGACCUUGUCCAAGU